UCCGAGUUGACCCCGGCAGUCUCCUAUGAGUUCCCGGCAUAACCCGCUGGCAACAUAGGACGAGGGUUGCGCUCGUUGCGGGACUUAACCCAACAUCUCACGACACGAGCUGACGACAGCCAUGCAGCACCUGUGUUACCGCUCCCUUUCGGGCACACCCGCCUCUCGGCGGGCUUCGGUACAUGUCAAGGGUAGGUAAGGUUUUUCGCGUUGCAUCGAAUUAAUCCACAUAAUCCACCGCUUGUGCGGGUCCCCGUCAAUUCCUUUGAGUUUUAAUCUUGCGACCGUACUCCCCAGGCGGAUGACUUCGCGCGUUAGCUGCGUUACUAAGGGAUUUAACUCCCCCAACAACUAGUCAUCAUCGUUUAGGGCGUGGACUAC
rnacentral:misc_RNA from 1 species